GGGGAAUAUUGCACAAUGGGCGCAAGCCUGAUGCAGCCAUGCCGCGUGUAUGAAGAAGGCCUUCGGGUUGUAAAGUACUUUCAGCGAGGAGGAAGGCGUUGUGGUUAAUAACCACAGCGAUUGACGUUACUCGCAGAAGAAGCACCGGCUAACUCCGUGCCAGCAGCCGCGGUAAUACGGAGGGUGCAAGCGUUAAUCGGAAUUACUGGGCGUAAAGCGCACGCAGGCGGUCUGUCAAUUCGGAUGUGAAAUCCCCGGGCUCAACCUGGGAACUGCAUCCGAAACUGGCAGGCUAGAGUCUUGUAGAGGGGGGUAGAAUUCCAGGUGUAGCGGUGAAAUGCGUAGGGAUCUGGAGGAAUACCGGUGGCGAAGGCGGCCCCCUGGACAAAGACUGACGCUCAGGUGCGAAAGCGUGGGGAGCAAAC
rnacentral:rRNA from 1 species